CUCAUCAUUUGCCCAGCAUACCCGCGCUCGGUUUGGCCAGCUUCGGCACUCGGCAUCCGAACGUCGCACGGCCCAAGAAAACAAAAAAACAAAGCUGCGAAUGGGCUCGCGUGACAUGGUGCCCCGCACGUCACUUGGAAACCCAAGGGAUGUUCUUUCCCACCCACGACGUCGCCAACGAAGAAGGUGACGCUCAAGAGCGACGCUGCGAGGGCGCGCGCGCGCGCAGAGUGCGCGCUUUGUGGAUGUGUUGGGGAGGGCGGUGCACAAGAAUGACCCCCCACCUCCACCCCCCCCCCCACAUCAUCCACCACCAGCCGUGCAGACGUCGUCAAUGGC